AUGGACAUAGCAUGUUGAAACACCGGUUCAAGUAUGAUCACCAAAGUUAAGCAACAUCAAGCCUGGUCAGUACCUAGAUGAGUGACCAUUUGGGAUUACCUGGUGCUGUAAG